rnacentral:rRNA from 1 species
AUACCUGGAGUAGUAAAAAGAUAUGAGCUCGAAACUUAAAGAAUUUGGCGGUAUCUAAGUCUAGUUAGAGGAACCUGUGCUUUAAACGAUAAACCACGAAUAUCUUGUUUUGUCUUGGAAACGCAGUACGUAUACCGCCAUUACAGGUAAUCCUUAGAGGGGUUUAUUGAGAUAAGCUAUGAGCUUAGGAUAUUAGGUCAAGGUGCGGCUUAUGACAAAGUAGACAUGGGUUACAUUGUGAUUAGUGAGGGCGGAUGGGUCUAGGAAUGUAUAGGUCUUGAAGGUGGAUUUAAUAGU